GAACACUUGCAGACUGGACAGCAGUAUAGAUCUAUAAUUAUCUACCUCUCACAUGCUAUCAAUGAGAAAGUAACAAAAUAUUAUACAUGCUUCACAUCAGCGUGUUAGCUAGCAAUUUGACAUGUUGACCUGGUUAACAUUCAAAUGAUAGUAUUGAGCUCAAAGAAAUGCAGGUACUGUUGCAAAUCUAAUUCAUGGAAUGUCCGACUGCAAACCAAAAGGGGAAUAUUUGCAAAUCAGACCCAAACCCUGAAAUACAUGCAGGUCCGUUCUGAUCAACAUCCAUUCAGCAGUUUCAUAGGGAUGGUGCAAUAGAUGUGGCGCCCCCCGCCAGGGUGGAGAACUGCACGGUGGAGUGAGGUGGGAGGGGAGGCGACAUGGAGGGAGGCUGUGUGGAAGCCGGAACUCAUAGCUGCUGCAGAAGUGCCUCAUUUGGGCUGCUGUGGCAGUGUGACCGCCUCCCAACGGCAACGUCAUCUGGUUAUAGUCUGGGAUCUCUGUCCCCAA